GUGCUUCAUGUCAGAUUGGAUGAUUGCAAAGGGGGUUGUGUGGGUUAACCACUGUGGUUUGUCUGAGCUCAAAGCUACACAGUCGACAGAGGAGUCCUGCAUUUGCACAGCAAUAGGAGCUGCACCUCUAUGACCUGACCGGUUUUACUUUAUACCUGAUAUGAACUUGUAAUAUAGGUGCAUCUCUCUGUUGCAAGUCAUAUUUAGCAGAGCUGAAGACUUUGGUUGAGGGCUGACAGGCUGUUCUUAAUCGUUAGGUUCUUUCUUUUUCAAGAAUGCCUGGAAUGAAAUAGAGCUGAUAAUCAUUAAAGGGGGGCUGCAUCGAAGAUAACAUACACUGUAAUACAAAGUUAACAAACAACGUAUGAGUUUGUGAAAACAGGGAAUACCGCUAUCCUGUCUUUACACUGUGUAACCUUUCUGUUCAAAUAAAUUAGCAUCAAACCUCUUCUGUUUUUUUUUUCCAGAUAACAAAAGUAGACAAAAAUAGGUAUAUUAAGAACCAGUCGGAUGACAGUCUGCCUGAUAUUGUGAUAGUUCUACGUAAAAAAGCUCAAUCUGCUGCACUGCACACAUCUAAACAAGAAACUGGAGCACACCUCCUGAUGAGAGAGAUUCUGGGCUCCCUGCUGCCUGCUGGAUCCCUUCAGCCUUCCUCUCCAGCAUUGCACCAGCCGGGUCUGAGGGAACCUUCAGUAUAUCAAAGUGCCCGGAAGCAGUUUACAGAUAGUAACAUGGCACCAGACUUCCAAAACUAUAUCCGAAGGAAGAGAAGUGAAGUGUUUGAUAAAUUCAUCAACCGACAGAAAAGCACAGGAUUGAAGGCCGACAUGAGAAGUGAAGAAAAAGAAGACAACUUGAGAAAUGUAACUAAAGCAUGCAAAGUGGACAUUUAGAGGAAAGCACGAGAAAGAUUUGCUGAGACGAAACCAACGCUAACAAAAGAUUCACAGCAAAAGAACAACAGGAGACAAUUCAGCAUAGAGGAGAUUAAAAAUAAAUGACUAAAAAGAGGAGGAAGGUGGGAGGAAGGGAAGGUAAUCUUUGCUAAAAUGAAUGGGAUUAUAAACAAGGCACCCAAGCACCUUCAAGCACAUCGGCACAUUCUUUACUUAAAAGAGUUACUGACAGGAGGGUUGUAUAUCCAGGCAUGAGAAUCAAGAGGAGGGUAUUAAACACAGGAAUGGAGGAGGAGUAAACUUCAACAGAGCAGAUAAUUCAAGAGAGUCCCGAGGAUGCUGAGGUGACAGGGAGGCGGGGGGUCUACAUUACAGGAUGCCCACAGGUUUGCUAAAGAACAACACUGAUUUUAUGAUGUAAAAAGUCUCGGAACAGAAAAUAUGAAUACUU